rnacentral:misc_RNA from 1 species
GGACUGGGGUUUCCGUCAUCGCAUCGGGUAGAACCUCAAGGUUAUUCUGGUGAGGGUCCUGUGGAAGAGCAAAGAUAUAUCAGUGGAUGUCCUUCAGGAUGACUCUCAGUUCGUUCAUAUGAAGGUGGUUCAGGAGAAGAAGAGCGAGUGCUUAUUUACUGCUCUCUAUGCGAAACCUAUGGAGAGUCUGAAAGCCUGGCUCUGGAAGCAAGUUCU